rnacentral:piRNA from 1 species
UGUGAUGGCUGCGGUUACCCUGAACAAAUC